AGAGUGAGCUAAAGCGAAGUCCACUCGCAGCUGCCUCGCCUCUUCACUUCCACUGUACUCUCUCUCUCUCUCCCUCUCCUUCCCCCUCCCCCGCUCUCUCUCUCUCUCAGUCGAAAUUCUCAAAUGUACAAAAUCAAAAACCCUAAAUCCACACUUCCUCACACGGUUUUUCUGUGAGUGCUGAUUUUGGGAGAUGAACAAAGAACACCCACCGGAGCCGCUUGAUUUCUUUAUUUGGACUGUGGAGUGUAAAUUGGGAAGUUUGUACUGUUGAUGAUUGGAGAUUAGAAGGGCUAAUUGAAUGAACAAACCAACAAGAGG